UUUAAUUUUCUACCUAUUAGAUUGUGUUUUAUUAACUUCUACACCUACCCUAACCCUAAACCUACCCCUUACACUAAUGAAAAAAUAGUAAUUUUUGUUGUAUAGUUUGACAAAAAUUACGAUGUAUUGAUGUGCGCAUGCCCAGUAAUGUUAUACGUAUCCCUUCUAGCCUUAACGCUAACCACAUACUUUCAGUUUUACUACAAAUAGCAUUUUAGAAAUAUUAUUUGAAAUAUCCAUUAUUUAUAUCGGGACAACAUGAUCAUCGGUUGCUGCUUCAUCUGUGCAUUUUUAGUGCUGAUAAACAAAGUGUGUCUGCAGGUCACAGUAGAGGGAUUUAUUGGUGGUUCUGUUGUCCUGCCAUGUUCUUCAGCAGAACGUGAUCUUAAACUUCAAGAUAUUAAUGUGCUUUGGAGAGACGAAGGCAGUGAGACUGUUUAUGAUAUAAUUAAAGGUAAAGCUUCAGUAGAGCGACAGGACCCACAGUACAAGAACAGAGCUGAAA